rnacentral:rRNA from 1 species
AUUGAACGCUGGCGGCGUGCUUAACACAUGCAAGUCGAUCGGUAACAGGUGUAGCAAUACAUGCUGACGAGAGGCGGACGGGUGAGUAAUGCUUGGGAAUCUGCCUAUUAGUGGGGGACAACCCGGGGAACUCGGGCUAAUACCGCAUACGCUCUACGGAGGAAAGCCGGGGACCGCAAGGCCUGGCGCUAAUAGAUGAGCCCAAGUCGGAUUAGCUAGUUGGUAGGGUAACGGCCUACCAAGGCGACAAUCCGUAGCUGGUCUGAGAGGACGACCAGCCACACCGGAACUGAGACACGGUCCGGACUCCUACGGGAGGCAGCAGUGGGGAAUAUUGGACAAUGGGGGCAACCCUGAUCCAGCGACGCCGCGUGGGUGAAGAAGGCCUGCGGGUUGUAAAGCCCUUUCGGGUGGGAAGAAAGUCUCGACCUAAUACGUCGGGACCUUGACGUAACCCACUAAA